rnacentral:snRNA from 1 species
UGCAUCUGGUUUCUCUGCAUCACGCAUUAAUCUUUCGCAUUUACUAAAGAUUUCGUGCAGAGGAACACUCUUUGAGUUUAAACUCAAUUUUUCUCAGCACUUGAGGAAAUCAAGGGU